CUCCCAUGUUCACCUCUGGAAGCUAACUGUGCGUGCGGGAUACCGGAAAUAACGACUUUCUACGCAACACAACGCAAGUUUCCUUUCAAACUUGUCGAUAAUGCAGAUGCCUUCUGGUUUUGCCCGAGUGAGGCAGUUAUGGAUUUGCCAGGCAGCGGAUUUAUAAGACGGGAAACACUCCACAGAGACGCCUCUGGAUUACCUCAACAGCGUGCUCCGGCAAAGGUCAAACGUAUUUUAUUGUAUUCAGAAAAAUCAAUUAUGAGAUAAGAUCUGUGAGAAUGAAUAUGGAAGAUUAUGUACUAACACACGCACACUUCUCAUAUUUGUACUGUACACACAAAGAGCAGAACUGGCGUCUUUAUUUACUGGCAAUUCCAACAUACUCUAACGAAACAGAAAAAUAUCAAAAUCCUUUUUAUUACAGGAUGAACAAUUCACAAUUGCCUGUUUUCUACAAAUUGCAGUUAAAAGUACAUGACAUGUUUUAAAGAGCUUCUCUAUUUAAUCACACACACAUGAUUUACAUAUGUAUCUGGGUGACACCACAGGGCGCUUACUGAUUCAUGCAUGAGCCUUUUUGCACAUGUGUGCUUUUUCUCGGGAAGUCUACACUCUGACAUCAAACACGAAGAGCCAAAGGCCAGUCCUCAAAACAUGCGAUUCCCCCUCCAAUGUCAAAUAUACCCAAGGCAAUAUUCAAAUAGGGUUUUUUUAAUAAAAAGGGACACAGAUGGAUUUAUAAAAUUAGAAUUUCCUGUUUGUCAGUUAUAAUUGAAAAAAAAAUAUCCUCAAAUCUACUUUAAAUGACUUAAUGAAAAAGCAGAAAUCAUGCUUGUGUUUGAAGGUUGUUUAAAUUAAAUUAUGCAACAACAUGGGUGCAUUUGAAUUUAUUUGUAAUCAGACAGACGGGCACUCGUGCCUUUACAGAUCAAAGCAGACAGAUGACGUUUGCGUAAAAGAUGAAUGCAUUUAUCCCAAUUAGAGUUCCUAUCAGUAAAGGGGAAUGAUGAAGGAAAGAAAAAGUAUUGAGAGCUCCAAGUGUGUAAUAAAUGUAAAAAAAAAAGUAGGUCAGACCUGUUUAUACUGAAAAGCUUAUAUUUGUGUAUGAGAGUGUGUGUACCUGUUAGGACCUGCGGUGUGGCAGAGUGGGGGACGAUAGCAGCGUCUUGUGGGAGAGACCCCAUCUCAGGUUCUGGCGUGCUGUUGGGAGGAGAGUUGGCGAGUGAGGACAUCACCAUCCUGGGCUUCAGCUGCACAGCAAAGGCAGGGCGUUGCUAUGACAGCAGUCGAUUAAAUCAGACCCUGCUCCAAAAGUCACUCAAGAAGGCGUCAGGGUCUGGGCUUUUCAGUCUCUUCCCGAGCGGCUCUGACUCUGCCUCCAGGUCGACUAGGUGCCAGCAGCCUCGUCCCCGGUGGUCA